rnacentral:rRNA from 1 species
UACGGAGGAUGCAAGCGUUAUCCGGAGUGAUUGGGCGUAAAGCGUCCGCAGGUGGCUAUGUAAGUCUGCUGUUAAAGAGUGAGGCUCAACCUCAUAAGAGCAGUGGAAACUACAUGGCUAGAGUGCGUUCGGGGCAGAGGGAAUUCCUGGUGUAGCGGUGAAAUGCGUAGAGAUCAGGAAGAACACCGGUGGCGAAAGCGCUCUGCUAGGCCGCAACUGACACCCAUGGACGAAAGCUAGGGGAGCGAAUGGG